GGGGGACUAUGGUCGCAAGAGUGAAACUUAAAGGAAUUGACAGAAGGGCACCACCAGGUGUGGAGCCUGCGGCUUAAUUUGACUCAACACGGGGAAACUUACCAGGUCCAAACAUAGCAAGAAUUGACAGACUAAGAGCUCUUUCUCGAUUCUAUGGGUGGUGGUGCAUGGUCGUUCUUAGUUGGUGGAGUGAUUUGUCUGGUUAAUUCCGUUAACGAACGAGACCUCCGCCUGCUAAGUAGCUAUGCAGAGCCAUCCCUCCACAACUAGCUUCUUAGAGGGACUAUCGUUGUUUAGGCGAUGGAAGUUUGAGGCAAUAACAGGUCUGUGAUGCCCUUAUAUGUUCUGGGCCGCACGCGUGCUACACUGAUGUAUUCAACGACUAUACAGCCUUGGCCGACAGGCCCGGGUAAUCUUCGGAAAUUUCGUCGUUAUAUGGAUAGAUCGUUGCAAUUGUUGGUCUUCAACGAGGAAUGCCUAGUAAGCGCGAGUCAUCAGCUCGGGUUGACUACAUCCCUGCCCUUUCUACACACCGCCCGUCGCUCCUAUCGAUUGAAUGGUAUGGUGAAGUAUUCGUAUUGUGGCGACCGUGGCGGUUCACCGCCCCCGGUGUCGCCAGAAGUCCAUUGAACCUUAUCAUAUAGAGGAAGGAUAAGUCGUAACAAGGUUUCCGUAGGUGAACCCGCGGAAG
rnacentral:rRNA from 1 species